UACGUAGGGUGCAAGCGUUGUCCGGAAUUAUUGGGCGUAAAGAGCUUGUAGGCGGUUUGUCGCGUCUGCUGUGAAAUUUCGGGGCUCAACCCCGAACUUGCAGUGGGUACGGGCAGACUAGAGUGUGGUAGGGGAGACUGGAAUUCCUGGUGUAGCGGUGAAAUGCGCAGAUAUCAGGAAGAACACCGGUGGCGAAGGCGGCACUCUGGGCCGGUACUGACGCUGAGGAGCGAAAGCGUGGGGAGCGAACAGG
rnacentral:rRNA from 1 species